rnacentral:rRNA from 1 species
GAUGAACGCUGGCGGCGUGCCUAAUACAUGCAAGUCGAGCGAACGGACGAGAAGCUUGCUUUUCUGAUGUUAGCGGCGGACGGGUGAGUAACACGUGGAUAACCUACCUAUAAGUCUGGGAUAACUUCGGGAAACCGGAGCUAAUACCGGAUAAUAUUUUGAACCGCAUGGUUCAAAAGUGAAAGACGGUCUUGCUGUCACUUAUAGAUGGAUCCGCGCUGCAUUAGCUAGUUGGUAAGGUAACGGCUUACCAAGGCAACGAUGCAUAGCCGACCUGAGAGGGUGAUCGGCCACACUGGAACUGAGACACGGUCCAGACUCCUACGGGAGGCAGCAGUAGGGAAUCUUCCGCAAUGGGCGAAAGCCUGACGGAGCAACGCCGCGUGAGUGAUGAAGGUCUUCGGAUCGUAAAACUCUGUUAUUAGGGAAGAACAUAUGUGUAAGUAACUGUGCACAUCUUGACGGUACCUAAUCAGAAAGCAACGGCUAACUACGUG